CCUACGGGUGGCAGCAGUGAGGAAUAUUUGUCAAUGGGCGAGAGCCUGAACCAGCCAAGUCGCGUGCAGGAUGAAGGCUCUAUGGUUUGUAAACUUCUUUUAUAUGGGAAUAAAGUGAGGAACGUGUUCCUUUUUGUAUGUACCAUAUGAAUAAGCAUCGGCUAACUCCGUGCCAGCAUCCGCGGUAAUACGGAGGAUGCGAGCGUUAUCCGGAUUUAUUGGGUUUAAAGGGUGCGUAGGUGGUUAAUUAAGUCAGCGGUGAAAGUUUGUGGCGCAACCAUAAAAUUGCCGUUGAAACUGGUUGACUUGAGUAUAUUUGAGGCAGGAGGAAGGAGUGGUGUAGCGGGGAAAUGCAUAGAUAGCACGCAGAAAUACGAUUGCGAAGGCAGCUUAGUAAACUAUAACUGACACUGAAGCACGAAAGCGUGGGGAUCAAACAGGAUUAGAUACCCUAGUAGUC
rnacentral:rRNA from 1 species